AAGUCGUAACAAGGUUUCCGUAGGUGAACCUGCGGAAGGAUCAUUAAAGAGAGGAUUAUUGUCCUUGUGAUGUGAUGUGAGAGAGUUUUUGGUCUGAAUGGACCAAGCAUUUUACGAUUUUACAGUUUCUGAUUGACAAUCAACAACAAAAACUGGCAGCAAUGGAUCCCUCGGUUCUC
rnacentral:misc_RNA from 1 species